GUGACAUCGUGGCGCGCAGCUGCGGUAAUACGGAGGGUUCGGGCGGUACUCGUAAGUACUGGGCGUAAAGUGUGCGCAGGCUGGUUUGUAAGCCAGGCGUGAAAUCCCCGGGCUUAACGUGGGAACUGCGUUUGUGACUGCAAUACUAGAGUACGGCAGAGGGGGGGGAAAUUCCACGUGUAGCAGUGAAAUGCGUAGAGAUGUGGAGGAACACCAAUGGCGAAGGCAGCCCCCUGGGUCGAUACUGACGCUCAUGCACGAAAGCGUGGGUAGCAAACAGGAUUAGAUACCCUAGUAGUC
rnacentral:rRNA from 1 species